CAUGGCGCAGUGUGAAAAACUCCGGUGGUAUAAGAUGGAUCCGCGCCUGAUUAGCUAGUUGGCGGGGCAGCGGCCCACCAAGGCGACGAUCAGUAGCCGGCCUGAGAGGGCGACCGGCCACAUUGGGACUGAGACACGGCCCAAACUCCUACGGGAGGCAGCAGUGGGGAAUAUUGCACAAUGGGGGGAACCCUGAUGCAGCGACGCCGCGUGAGUGAAGAAGUAUUUCGGUAUGUAAAGCUCUAUCAGCAGGGAAGAAGAUGACGGUACCUGACUAAGAAGCCCCGGCUAACUACGUGCCAGCAGCCGCGGUAAUACGUAGGGGGCAAGCGUUAUCCGGAUUUACUGGGUGUAAAGGGAGCGUAGACGGCAGGGCAAGUCUGGAGUGAAAGCCCGGGGCCCAACCCCGGGACUGCUUUGGAAACUGCCAUGCUGGAGUGCUGGAGAGGUAAGCGGAAUUCCUAGUGUAGCGGUGAAAUGCGUAGAUAUU
rnacentral:rRNA from 1 species